GACGAACGCUGGCGGCGUGCUUAACACAUGCAAGUCGAACGGAAAGGCCCUGCUUUUGUGGGGUGCUCGAGUGGCGAACGGGUGAGUAACACGUGAGUAUCCUGCCCUUGACUUUGGGAUAACUUCAGGAAACUGGGGCUAAUACCGGAUAGGAGCUCCUGCUGCAUGGUGGGGGUUGGAAAGUUUCGGCGGUUGGGGAUGGACUCGCGGCUUAUCAGCUUGUUGGUGGGGUAGUGGCUUACCAAGGCUUUGACGGGUAGCCGGCCUGAGAGGGUGACCGGCCACAUUGGGACUGAGAUACGGCCCAGACUCCUACGGGAGGCAGCAGUGGGGAAUAUUGCACAAUGGGCGGAAGCCUGAUGCAGCAACGCCGCGUGCGGGAUGACGGCCUUCGGGUUGUAAACCGCUUUCGCCUGUGACGAAGCGUGAGUGACGGUAAUGGGGAAAGAAGCACCGGCUAACUACGU
rnacentral:rRNA from 1 species